GUUUUUAAGCAUGUUAAGGGUUUAAAUAGUUAUUAAGCAUUCAGUAUGUUUUGUUGUUUUCACAGCAACUGUAACAUGAAGUCGUUGUUAUUGAAUAUAUAAUUUAUGGCUAUAUCUAAUAUUACUCAACAAUACUUUGUGUUUGUUAAGCGCGUCCAUACAUUAGUAACAGAACAGGCGCGUCUCAUUUCGCUCCCUGUGGUGAAUGCGUUUAUCAUAACUACUAAUAAUUCAGUCACUGGCAAAAAGUGAUGUAAAAACAGAACUUGAGUCAACUGACCCAAAUACUUCUCAAAAUGUUUCCAAUCUCUCGAUUCAGGGGCACGCUGAUGACAUCUGCUGCUCAAAACAUGUGAACGCAACGAGAACAACAAACAACUGCAAAUGAUUUCAUGAAAUUAGAAUGUAUUUAAUAAUGCAAUUUACAAAUCAAUAUUGAAUGUAAAUCUUAAAUGCCUAAAUAUUAAGUGUCUCCUUAAUUUGCCUAAUUUUAUUAAUUUGUUAUGCUAGUUUUGGUAGUUUUUUUUUUGUUUAAUCAGGUCAUUUGACUGACUCCCUUACCAGUGUGCUGACUACUGAGCUAGGAAGCUGAUUGAGACACGCUCACACCGCUUUUCUGGUGACUUGUGCUGGAGCCAGAGCCCAGUUGCGAACGAGCUGGGCUAUUUAUUUACUCAAAAAAAAAUCCUGGCCCAGAUCCUGGUAUCAAACCAGCCCUGAAACCUUUCGAACAAGGGGACCUAUGAUGCCAGUAGGCGGAGCUUACACUACAGACCACAGCUUAAAAGGCACUAUAUUUAAAAACUGUCAUGAAGUUCAUGAAAAUUAAAAACACCAAUUGUGUCAUUCCUGUUAUACAGUGACUUUUAUGUCCUGAUGGUUUAUUUAAUCAUAUUUUCUCUUAAAUGAAUGGCACAUUUAUAAGAUAUGGCAUGAAUUGUAUAUUUAGGUCUUCUUUACCACUUAAACAGGGAUAAUAGAAAUUAUAAAUACUAUUUUGUAUUUUACACACCUUUCGUUGAUAUAUGCAUUAAAUUUUAUGAUGUCCUCAGUGCAAAGUAAUCAACUUCCACAAGAAAUAUAAACUAUGAAAGAUAAAAAAAAAAAAAAAUCUAAAUAAGUUUUAAUUAUGUUAUAGACUAGGCUAAACUGCCAAUAAUCAUACAUAUAAAUCAGGUGAAAAUAUAGAUUUUUUUUUUUCCUUCUCGAUUACCAUGUCCCUGAAGUAAUUUUCCACCCUGUUAGUACAUACUUUCUCACAUUCCAAAACUGAUUGCAAUUUCAUUUAGACCAUUUUAUAGAAGUGACAUCAUUUAUUUUUCCCACUGGAAUUCAAGUCUACAAACUGAGAGUGUCCAAACAGACUGAAAAACUCCUGGUGAAGAAGCCGAGACCUACGUGACAAUAUUAUAAAGAUGGAGUUUAUUAAAGAGGAGAUUGAAGACGUGAAGAUUGAAGAAACAUUCAGAGUCAAACAAGAAGAUGCUGAGACACAAACAGACCUGAUGCCACUGAAAGAGGAAAUUGAAGAACUGAAUGAAAUGCAAGAUACAGAUCAGUAUAAGAAACAUAAUGGUUUCUUAACUGGACAAAAGUCAUUUAGUUGCUCACAGAUUGAAAAGGCGUGCUCACAAAAAAUAGUUCAAAAGACUGGAUCUAGAGGUAAGGCACAUGAGAAUUCAUACUCGAGAGAAACCUUACACCUGCAAACUUUGUGAAAAUAGUUUCAUUCGAAAAGAAAGCCUUAUAAACCACAUGAGAAUUCACACUGGAGAGAAGCCUUUCACCUGCCAGCAGUGUGGAAAAAGUUUCACUCAAAAAGGAAUCCUUAGAGUCCACAAGAUGAUUCACAUUGGAGAGAAGCCAUUCAUCUGCCAACAGUGUGGAAAGAGUUUUACUCAGCAAGGAAACCUUAGAAUCCACAAGAUGAUUCAUGAUGGAGAGAAGCCUUACACUUGCCAGCAAUGUGGAAAACAGUUCAUUGAACACAGAAACCUUAAAGUUCACAUGAUGAUUCACACUGGAGAGAAGCCUUUCACUUGCCAACAGUGUGGAAAAUGUUUCAGUGUAGAAGGAACACUUAAAUGCCAUAUGAACAUCCACACUGGUGAGAAACCUUACACCUGCCCUCAGUGUGGAACCAGUUUUACUCAGCGAGGAAGCUUUAACAGGCACAUCAAUCGUCACAGAGAGAAACCUUACACCUGCAAACUGUGUGGAAAAAGCUUUUCAAAAAAACUAAAUCUAAAGCAUCACAUGAACAGUCAUACUGCUGAGAAGAUAUAAAGAUAUCAUCAGAUAUAAAGUAACCCUUAAUAAGCACACAAGGACUCACUCAGGAAAACUGUUUAGAGAUAUAGCCAGUUAUGUCACAUGAAAGGCUUGUUUACAUGCAACCAAAUAAUCCAUUUGUAAUCGGAUUGAUGGCUCAAUUGGACUGAAAAGCUUUCAUGUAAACCCCUUAACCCUUGUGGAUUGUUCAAAUUCACUACCCUUUUGAGUUGUUCGGGAUGGAAACAUCCACUCAAUUAAACUGCUGUAAAAAUGUA